AUUGAACGCUGGCGGCAUGCUUUACACAUGCAAGUCGAACGGUAACAGGUUAAGCUGACGAGUGGCGAACGGGUGAGUAAUGCAUCGGAACGUGCCCGGUCGUGGGGGAUAACGCAGCGAAAGCUGCGCUAAUACCGCAUACGAUCUGAGGAUGAAAGCGGGGGACCGUAAGGCCUCGCGCGAUCGGAGUGGCCGAUGUCAGAUUAGGUAGUUGGUGGGGUAAAGGCUCACCGAGCCAACGAUCUGUAGCUGGUCUGAGAGGACGACCAGCCACACUGGGACUGAGACACGGCCCAGACUCCUACGGGAGGCAGCAGUGGGGAAUUUUGGACAAUGGGCGAAAGCCUGAUCCAGCAAUGCCGCGUGCAGGUAGAAGGCCUUCGGGUUGUAAACUGCUUUUGUACGGAGCGAAAAGGUCUCCUCUAAUACAGGGGGCUCAUGACGGUACCGUAAGAAUAAGCACCGGCUAACUACGUGCCAGCCGCCGCAGUAAAAC
rnacentral:rRNA from 1 species